ACCGCUCUGUUUUCUCGAAGCCCUGCGCGCCGCGCGGGGUACUGACAUAGAGAAGAUGGGGCGGG
rnacentral:ncRNA from 1 species